AGAACAUUCUAUGGACCAACUGAUCAAUUUCUCUAACAAGUCAAUGGCUUGCGGAAAAAGGGGAAAAUGAAUGUUACUGCUAACAUUUGACAUCAAUCACCCAAUCACAUGUUGUCACAUCAUUACUCAGCUCUGUGACAAAGGCAGAAGAGAGAGACCACGGCUGAAAUGGCGCUCUUGGUGUAGAAGCUGCAGCACAGAACCGUGAAGACACUCACCCUGAGUCACACAGCCGGGACUCAGCCGGCCGGCAGCCCUGGGGUCUCCCUGCUCUGAGCCUCCAUCACACAGCCCUGCUGCCUUGACCACAGCUCACCGUCCAGA